rnacentral:misc_RNA from 1 species
GAUGAAGAACGUAGCGAAAUGCGAUAAGUAAUGUGAAUUGCAGAAUUCAGUGAAUCAUCGAAUCUUUGAACGCAUCUUGCGCUCCUUGGUAUUCUGAGGAGCAUGCCUGUUUGAGUGUCAUUAAAUUCUCAACUACACUGACUUUGAAUUGGUGUGGCUUGGAUUUGGGGGGAAAAUUGUUGUGGGCUUUUUGUAUAGUCUGCUCCCCUGAAAUUGAUUAGCGGUACCUUUGUGGAACUGUCUACAGGUGUGAUAAUUAUCUACAUCGUAGACAUCUGCUGGAAUGCUGCUUUCUAAACCUUACUUGUAUUGACAAUCUUGACCUCAAAUCAGGUAGGACUACCCGCUGAACUUAAGCAUAUCAAUAAGCGGAGGA